CAGCCGCCGCGGGAAUACGAAGGGGGCUAGCGUUGCUCGGAAUUACUGGGCGUAAAGGGAGCGUAGGCGGAUAGUUUAGUCAGAGGUGAAAGCCCAGGGCUCAACCUUGGAAUCGCCUUUGAUACUGGCUAUCUUGAGUAUGGAAGAGGUAUGUGGAACUCCGAGUGUAGAGGUGAAAUUCGUAGAUAUUCGGAAGAACACCAGUGGCGAAGGCGACAUACUGGUCCAUUACUGACGCUGAGGCUCGAAAGCGUGGGGAGCGAACAGGAUUAGAUACCCCGGUAGUCCCUGUCUCUUAUAC
rnacentral:rRNA from 1 species